ensembl:ncRNA Y113G7A.21 ncRNA
AUUUUUUUAAAAUCCGCGAAACUUAGUUUCCCAUUUGAUUAAAAACCUCAAAUCCUAACUAAUCACAUCAAGAAAAAAAAUUUGCCCACCACUGGGGGUCGAACCCGUGACCUCUUGGACGGCAGUCAUCUCUCUUACCGACUGAGCCAC